GCCCCGGUAGCUCGGUGUUAGAGCUCCUAGAAGAGGUGAACUAAAAGUGGUCUCAGGUUAAGAAGGUCUCCGUCAAUAAUUCAAAGGAGGUUUCAGGUUCGAAUCCUGCCCGGUGGCU